GAUGAAGAACGUAGCGAAAUGCGAUAAGUAGUGUGAAUUGCAGAAUUCAGUGAAUCAUCGAAUCUUUGAACGCGCAUUGCGUCCCUUGGUAUUCCAUGGGGCAUGCCUGUUCGAGCGUCAUUUGUACCUUCAAGCUCUGCUUGGUGUUGGGUGUUUGUCUCGCCUCUGCGUGUAGACUCGCCUCAAAACAAUUGGCAGCCGGCGUAUUGAUUUCGGAGCGCAGUACAUCUCGCGCUUUGCACUCAUAACGACGACGUCCAAAAGUACAUUUUUACACUCUUGACCUCGGAUCAGGUAGGGAUACCCGCUGAACUUAAGCAUAUCAAUAAGCGGAGGA
rnacentral:misc_RNA from 1 species